CUCGCGCUCUUAUUUCUCUCCCUGCGGCGGGGCAGACCCUGACCGACUCCCUCUGCCUGGCGUGCCCGGCUUCCUUGGCGGGGUUUGAGGUGGUGGUUCCGCUGGUGGCAAGCCGCCGCCGUAGGAGGGGAAACCCAGGGCUAACCCCCGCCCCCCACCCCACCCCACCCAGCCGGUAGCCCACCAGGCUUCCAAACCGCGCUUAGGUUUGGAAUCCGCCUUUGCUUUCCAACAGUUACCCAGACUUUCCGAUUACACGCCAGCUCGACUUGGCUUGCGAAGGGAAGAGAAAAUAAUAAUAAAAAAUUAGGUAUCACGAAGGAAAUCUUUUGUGUAUUUCUCGAGAAUGUGCCCAUUACGUUUCAGGAAAUGGACCCGGAAGACUGAAUGUCCUCUUCCAACUCCAAGGAGGGCAAUUGGUAGAGUAUACUUUUCCAUGCAUACCCAGUUAAGGUAAAAUCGGUUAUUACAGAUCGUUUAUAAAAGACAGAUAAAAGAGUUGGACCAAAAUGCACAUGGUGCGACAUAGCAGAACCAAGCAAGGAAGACAUUCCAAAGCUAAUAAUAAUAAGAAUGAUUAUUAUUAUCAUGCAGUAGUGAGGUGUGCAAAUUAAAUGGCUCUGAAAAACAGUUGGCAGUAAAAGAGAAGACAAAAGGGAAGAUAGGGAACAAAAAUCUAUAAAGAACUAUAACCAUCAAGGGUCAAAGGCUAGUGAAUAAAGUAGGUUAAAAGAAUAAAGGACCAUACCCAGACAAUAUGAAGAAACGUAAAAUAACCAAUCAUAUGUUUGCAACUCUGUAUACAGUAGUUCAGGAUUGAAAAUAUUUUAUGUGGGAGCAAUCUUCAAUGGUAAAUCCCAUUAUUUCUUUCCAAUGUGGGGAGUUUUCUGUAUUCUUCUCACCCUGUAUCCAGGCUUAGUUAAGUUGGUCUUGGGAUGUUUACCCCACUGCAUCAUUCAUUGUGUAGCCAAUUGCUGUUAUCACUGGCACUGUGAAUUUUCCUCAGGUAAUUUUUUGUGUUAUCUCUGGUAUAAAUUAAAGGUACACAUGCUGGCUUUUUUCAUUUAGUUCAACUCAGAGCCCUAUUAUUGAAUGUUAUUUUAUGCAUACGACUCUCUUCUCCAUUUAAAUAAACGGUGGGCCUUUAAGGGUGUAUUACCACCCAGCCCCACUCUUGCUUCAAAUCCUGCCUUGAAAUGUGUUUAUGGGAGUGUCUAUUGCUAGACAGUAGGGCACACUCUUUAAGAGAGUCUAAACCCUGAGAAGGAGGAGGGGGAGUAGUAGUAUUGGUAUGCUAGAUCUACUUUGAUGCAAUGAAGAAAAGUAAUAAGUCAACUCCCUCUUUCUAUUUUUCCUACAACAACCUUGUAAGAUGAGUUAGGCUGAAAGAAAGUGACUGGCCCAAGAUCACCCACCUGGCUUUCAUGGCAAUGAUGGAACUAGAACUCACAGUCACCUGGUUUCUAGCCUAGGGCCAUAAUCACUAAACCAAACUGUGCAACUUGCUGCUGUCCAGGAAGAUACGGUAAUCACCUGACCAGGGAAGAGACCCAGGUUCUAGGGUUUCUGCCUUCAGAGCACCUUCAGCGUUUGCCUCCCUUUUUAUUACGAUGAAAAAAGGUUAUCAAGUUUUGGAGUGGUGGGCAGAAGAGAAGAGGAGAAAAGAGAAACGACUCAUGCAGAGAAAAUGAAAUGUAUUUAAAGGAUUAGAACAUACUGUAAGAGGUUUGUUAGCUCAGCUGAAUUUAAGGAGAGAGAAAGGAGGUGGCAGGCUGAAGCAGCACUCUGAGGCCGUAGCCUGGCAGACACACCUGGGAAGUGCAACUUUUUCUUCAGUGUUUGCAACCCUUCCAUAACACUUGACAGACAGAAGGCAAGGACCACUGUACAUUAAUAAUGUGAUCUGAGGAAGCAGAUAUAUAUAUCCUCUUCAGGCAUUUGUGAAAAGAAUGCAUAUAGGAAGUAUCAUGCACAAUUUCCCUCUGAUGACCCAUGGAAUGCAAUUUUAUUUGACAAGCACUGCUGAAACUUAAGGUUGGCCAAGCAUUGUUGGAAUUCACCAUGAAACUUGAAACUCACCCUUUCUGAUACCACAGAAGGGUGUAAUUACCUUCACCUGAAUUCACAAACUGCCACUCCUCUCUGGAAGAGUCCUCUUCCAAAGAACAGCAGGAAUUGCUGGUCCCUCCCUACACAGGAAGACCCUAGGGGCUUACACCUCCUUAAAGAUGAACUAUGCAGUCAGGUGGAAGACGCAUCAGAUGAGGAUGAGUUUGCAAAGGUAUCCUGGGUCCUAAAGAGAGAUGGUUCUUCAAAGGUACAGGGUUAGUCCCUACUUGGUGCAUAGGCUGUAGAAAGUGAGGAAGGUGGCCUUGACAGAGACAUGCAGGAGCAUAGGCAAAAAGGGCUGAAGCAACGUUUAAAUCUAGAAACACAAGAUUACAUUCACAAGUGGUUUAGGCCGUUGCCUUUCUAAUCUGCUGAAGUGUGAGGAAGAGUAGGUACAGCACAAUCAGACUUGCAAGAUUCUGUUAGUGUAAUCAGUCUUUUUUUUUAUUUAAAGUAGUUUUAACUUUCCUGUGAAAGUUGACUUCCUGAUCUGAUCUAAUUAAUAGAGCUGAUACAGUGGUGGGUUUCAAUUUUUUUUACUACCGGUUCUUUGGGCGUGGCAGGGGAAGGAUACUGCAAAAUCUCCAUUCCCUCCCCAAUCCAUGGAAAGGUUAUUGCAAAAUCUCCAUUUCCUCCCAAUCAGCUGGGAUUUGGGAGGCAGAGAAUAGAUGGGGGCGGAGCCAGCCAGAGGUGGUAUUUACCAGUUCUCUGAACUACUCAAAAUUUCCGCUACCGGUUCUCCAGAACUGGUCAGAACCUGCUGAAAUCCACCGCUGGGCUGAUAUACACUGUACAAAGGUGCUUUGUAGUUUUGUAAUGACAAUCUUGUCAGUCGGGGUCAUGUUUCAUAACCCAAUCAAGAAGCACGGCACUUGGAAUGCCUAAAACACUGGUUGCGUUGUCCAAAAUUUGCCUUACUUGAGAUGCCAAAAUAAGCUGUUGGGUUGCUCCCUCCUGUCUGGACUUAACAAAUUGGACUUUGAGGUUUUCCUAUUUCUGUGAGGCUGUUGGACUUAUCAUGACUUCCCUUUUCAGAUUGCUCCUAUAAAUGGUUUAUUGCUGGCUCAGGCAGUAAACCUGACAAUUAAACCCUCACCAUAGUUCUUUCCUGUCUAGUUGGGGAGAUUGCAGUGGAAAAAACAGGAGCCAUACAGCAUCUCCAUUACUCAUCCUUUAUGAGCAGAAUUAAGAACAUAUGGAGACAAGCCCAUUUCUAAAUAAUUUAAGGAAGCGUCUUACACUAUUAUGAUUAUUUAAUUCAGUAUUGCCAACACUGAUUGGAAGCAGCUCUCUUAACAUUUCAAGGAGGAGCUUUUCCAAAUCUGUUGGGAGAUACAAAGCCUUAGAGUUGGGUUGAAAAGAUACCUUUUCAAUGGAAAACACAAGCUGAGUCUCCAGGGUAUGGGACAAUUUGCCCCAGCCAACUUUUGCGGCCAAUUUGCCUUGGCCAACUCACCACAGCCAACUUGCAGUGGGCAAACUCGCCAUGGCCAACUCACUGCAAGACACAACUCACUGCAGGACAAUUUAAUAAUUCUAUUUAAUUAUUUAAAAUAAAUAAAAAUUAUUUUAAUUUUAGCCAUUCAUAUUUCAUUCUGUCCCUCCUUUUGCAUCCUUUCUUUAAUGAUUCCAUUCCACCAUAUCUUUGAUAUUAGCGUAACUCUUGUCCUGCAAUGAGUUGGCCAUGGCGAGUUGGCUGUGGCAGGUUGAUCAUAGUGAUCUGGCUGUGGCGAAUUGUCAUGUGAAAAUAUUUGUGAAAAUAUUUACAGACCCCUCGCAUCCUGGACAUAAACUGUUUCAACUCCUACCCUCAAAACGACGCUAUAGAGCACUGCACACCAGAACAAUUAGACACAAGAACAGUUUUUUCCUCCUUCACUCUUCUAAACAACUAAUUCACACAACACUGUCAAACUAGUUACUAAAUCUUCAUCUUCUCAUCGUUCCUAUCACCCAUCUCCUCCACUUAUGACUAUGACUGUAACCUUCUUGCUGGUAUCCUUAAGAUUUAUAUUGACUGUUUCCCUAUGACUAUUAUUAAGUGUUGUACCUUAUGAUUCUUGACCAACGUAUCUUUUCUUUUAUGUACACUGAGAGCAUAUGCACCAAGACAAAUUCCUUGUGUGUCCAAUCACACUUGGCCAAUAAAGAAUUCUAUUCUGUUUUAUUAUCAUAGACCCAUGUCACCAAGCUUAUAUCUUUCCUUUGAUCCCUUAAAAGUAGACCAAAGUAGGGAACCAUAAUUAUGAAUGUAAAUGUUACUUUUAUUAUAAGGUUACAUUAACAGAAUCUCACAACUCUGAAUGUGUCGUUCUUCCACUCCCCCCACCCCAAUUACUUGAGAACUAGGGAGAGUUUUUCCUGACAUGCUUUCUCAGGUUACACUCCUAGUCUUAACAGGUUCCACAGCCUGAAAAAAAUUUUAAAUCCCCACUGUGGGGCAUAUUCAUUAGGAAGUACCCUGCCAAGGCAAUUAGAUUGAUCCCCAGUUAAGAGUGGGUGGGAUUGAAUAGCAAGUGUUGAUUGGAGACUUCCCUUUCCAAGAUUCUCUGGAAAGCCAGUUUAAAUUCUAGGCUUUGGGGUGGUGGGGGAACUUUUUACAUGCUAAACUGCAGGUUUUAUUUUUUCAAUUUUUAUUGUACCUUUCUAUCAUGGUUUUGCUUUGUUAUGUUUUACCGCAGGAAUGUACAUUUCUGAUAAAGCCCCAGGUUAUAAUUUUACAAUGUAAACUAGCAAACCAAUAAUACCUAAUAGAUUUCAGCGGGUGAGAUUAAUGUUUGCAUAAUUUUCCCUUUACAAUCAGUAAUAUGGAGAACUUUGCCUGGAAUAUUAUAAUAUUAACACAAUACUAAUGUAAUACAUGCUGUAGAAACAACAGGCAACAGAGAGAACAAUAGUUGGGAUGAAAUGUUCUGAAUUCUGACCUAAAAAUUCCGGUGAUGUUCUAAAACUUACCCCCUGCUCUCUAGUCCUGUUAGAUAAUUGGAAUCAUUGUGAAUAUUUACCAUAGGGUCGUGAUGCAGAAACAAGUAAUGCUUCAUCAAUUGGAACAUGUUUUCAAUUUUUUUAAAAAAAUGUAUACACCAAGUUUAAGGUGGCUUGCAACAAUUAAAACUAUAUAAAACAGAACAACUAACUGAAUGCAAUUAAAUUCACUAAUUAGUCAAAUAAUUUAAAAGAUGUAACAACGAAUCAUUGCUAAAAAACAAUGAAGAACCUUGAUCCUAGACUAAAGCUCUAAACUGAAAUGGCUGUUAGAUAUUGGGCCAACAGCGCUGCAUAAUCACCUAAGAAACUACUGUAACAUACGAAGCGUGUCCUUGGUUUGUGACAACACAUCUAUGGAGUCCUACCGAGCCAAUUUACCACACUCAGAAGCAAAUACUGUGCUGAUGUCAGUGGAGAUCGUGAAUGACAGCUUUAUGGCAUUAGAAUGAAAGAUGUGGGGAUAAUACAUGUCUGUCGAGAACUGCUUAUAAAAAGAAAUGAAACAAAAACAAUCUGAUGCGGAGGCGAGAUUAUUUGAGUUCAGUCUGGUUAGGCUUUAUCUGAAUUUGGUUUACCUUGGAAAUAUUGAGAAGCAUAUUAUACGCACUGAAUAAAACACAGUUCUGCAGCUACCUAUGGCACCUCGCUGAGUUCUGAGUUAUAUGAAAGGAAAUAGAGGAUAUAUAUAUAAUUUUGUCACAACAGUAUACACAAGCAUCAACAUAAAUCAACAAAAUAUCAUAUAAGCAUAUAUAUGAGCAAAAUUAUGUAAUAAUUGUAUUAAUUUGAUAUAAUGAAAGGCAACAUUAGGAUAGGAACGGUAGGCACUUUUGUGCUCUUAUGCACGCCCCUUAUAGUCCUCUUAGGAAUGGCGUGAGGUCAAUGGUAGACAGUUUUUGGUUAAAGCUUUUGGGAGUUUGAGAAGAGACCACAGAGUCAGGCAGUGUGUUCCAAGCGUUAACAAAAAUCAUAUUUUCUGCAAUCAAGAUUGAAGCGGUUAACAUUAAGUUUGAAUCUAUUGUUUGCUCUUGUAUUAUUGCAAUUGAAGCUGAAGUAUUACACCUGAAUGUAUUACAUAUAUUACACCUGAAGAAAGUCUUACUUUCUCAGUUUCAAUGUGGUUGCUGUGAGAGUCUGGCUGGGCUUCCCUUCUUUAUUUGUAUCGGAAGCAUGUUUAAAUUAUAGACCUAUAUCAUUCAAUACUGAGCAAAUAAAGUAGGAUCAUUUGGAUGGGCUGAUGCAGAUCAGACUAAAUGAUAAUUUACACUGCUUGAAAACUGUUAGGCAAGAUCAUCUUGGACUCUGAUCAGUGGUGGAUUUCAGAUUAUGUUACUACUGGUUUGUCCCGCUUGUGUGCGCCCCGUUUGUGGAUACCCUUGCCUUCCACGCAUGCACCUGGGCUUCCGCACAUGCACUUUUCUCACGUGCGUGCCUUCCCCAUAUGCGCCUGGCCUUAAAAACCUGCCUAAAUAGGAUGGCAUAUAGCCGGAGUGGGUGGACGGCCCCACUUGCGAUUUCCACUACCGGUUCUGGAGAACUGGUCCGAACCAGCUGAAUACCACCUCCGGUUCUGAUAUAUCCUUCCACCUAUAGAGUUCCAAGUUCUCGCCACACCAAAUGUCAUUUUUGCUUGCCAAAUCCCCAGAUGUUAAUUGAGGUGGACUGAGUGCCCUACCUCUGCCCAAUUUCUUGAGCUCGCAGGGAAAUGAAAGCUCAAAGUUAUGGCUGCUCAACUGGGGAAAAACAACAGUCAGGACCCAGAAGAGUUGCAAAAGUUCUCACCCUUGGGAAAACCGCCUACAAUAUAUCCAACCUUCACAGAGCUCCAGCCUUGCUCCUGUUGAAACACUCAGCGCAUUUCCUGUUGAGCUGUAGCUUCACUGGAAAUACCUCAGCAUGGGACCACAUGAGCAGAGAGCAAACGCAACAUGUUUGAAGUGUCUUCAGCAGGCGCAAACUGCAGUUUGCUGGGCAACUGAGCAGGUUGUCCUGAGGGUUAUUUUGCCAUCAUCCUCACCUCCCAAGGAAGACCUGAUUUGAUUUUGUCAGUGCACAUCUUGGGCUCUAUUAAUGAGAUCUACGUUGAUUAUCUUUGCAAUGGUCUAAUGCAGGCUGAAACAUUUCUGAGAGCGGCUUUCAAGUGCUCUCAAUCAAGCUCAGAUAUGACAACUAGAUGGCCGUUGAUUAAUAGCAGUUGUGCUUCUGGAAACUGACACCAUGAGGCCUUUUUCCUCAGGGUCUUGUCAGAAAAUAGAAUUAAGUACUUAGUUGGAGCCCAGUGGCAAUAUGAAUUUGGAAUUUCCAGAGCUUUUGUCUUUUAUUGUCUUUUAUAUAUUAUAAAUACAUGUAGCCCUCAAUUUAUAACAGUUUGUUCAAAGUUGGCACUUUGUAUUAAUAAAAUGUUAUUUAUGAUAGUAGUUGAAUUCAAAUUUUUUUACUAUGGUAAAAAAACUACGGUUCUGUGGGCGUGGCUUGGUGGGCGUCGUGUGGCUUGGUGGGCGUGGCAGGGGCAGGAUACUGCAAAAUCUCCAUUCCCACACCACUCCAGGGGAAGAGUACUGCAAAAUCUCCCUUCCCACCCACUCCAGGGGAAGAAUACUGCAAAAUCUCCAUUCCCAUCCCACUCCAGGGGAAGGAUAGUGCAAAAUCUCUAUUCCCUCCCCAUUCCUGGGGGAAGGAUAUUGCAAAAUCUCCAUUCCCACCCCACUCUGGGGCCAGCCAGAGGUGGUAUUUGCCGGUUCUCCAUUUCCGCUACCAGUUCUCCAGAACCUGUCAGAACCUCCUAAAUAGCACCACUGAUUUAUGACCAUUUUUCACAGUUAUGACCUUUGCUGCAUCCCCAUGAUCAUGCGAUCAAAAUUCAGAUGCUUGGCAACCAGUUCAUACUUACGACCAUUGCUGUGUCCCAUGGUCAUGUGAUCUCCUUUUGCAACCUUCUGACAAGCGAAGUCAAUGAGGAAGCCAGGUUCACUUAACACUCAGGUUACUCACAUAUCAACUGCAUUGAUUCGCUUAACAACUAUGGCAAGAAAAGUUGUAAAACGAGACAAAACUCAUUUAACAAAUGUCUCACUUAAGAAUAGAAAUUUUGGCCUCCAUUGUGAUUGUAAGUCGAGGAUUAUCUGUAUAUACUAAACCAUAUAUUUUAACCAUAUUCCCCU